rnacentral:rRNA from 1 species
GUGAGGAAUAUUGGUCAAUGGACGAGAGUCUGAACCAGCCAAGUAGCGUGAAGGAUGACUGCCCUAUGGGUUGUAAACUUCUUUUAUAAGGGAAUAAAGUGAGGGACGUGUCCCUUUUUGUAUGUACCUUAUGAAUAAGGAUCGGCUAACUCCGUGCCAGCAGCCGCGGUAAUACGGAGGAUCCAAGCGUUAUCCGGAUUUAUUGGGUUUAAAGGGAGCGUAGGUUGACAUAUAAGUCAGCUGUGAAAGUUUACGGCUCAACCGUGAAAUUGCAGUUGAUACUGUAUGUCUUGAGUGUACAAGAGGUGGGCGGAAUUCGUGGUGUAGCGGUGAAAUGCUUAGAUAUCACGAAGAACUCCAAUUGCGAAGGCAGCUCACUGGGGUACAACUGACACUGAGGCUCGAAAGUGUGGGUAUCAAACAGGAUUAGAAACCCUAGUAGUCC